rnacentral:rRNA from 1 species
UGAGCGGCGGACGGGUGAGUAACGCGUGGGUAACCUGCCUCAUACAGGGGGGUAACAGUUAGAAAUGACUGCUAAUACCGCAUAAGACCACGGUACCGCAUGGUACAGUGGUAAAAACUCCGGUGGUAUGAGAUGGACCCGCGUCUGAUUAGGUAGUUGGUGGGGUAACGGCCUACCAAGCCGACGAUCAGUAGCCGACCUGAGAGGGUGACCGGCCACAUUGGGACUGAGACACGGCCCAG